rnacentral:rRNA from 1 species
AUGCAGCAGCAGCAACCGCAGCAUCAGGGUGGAGGCCCGGGACAGCAGUUCGGCCUGCAUCCCCCAGAGAUGCCGCCAUUCUCGCCGUCCAGGAGCACCGGCCAGCAGCGGAUCUCGAUGGCCGAGGCGCCCUCGCCCAUCAGCAGCCGCCCGCCGGCGCCUGGGCCGCCGCCGCCUCAGCAGCAGCAGCUCAACAACGAGCUAGCAGGUGCCGGCGCUGUGGGCUGCGACGAAGAGGCGCUCGCGGCCGGCGAGGAAGGCUUGGGCGGCGGCGCUGGAGGAAACCGGUGGCCGCGGCAGGAGACCCUGGCGCUGCUCAAGAUCCGGUCGGACAUGGACGCCGCCUUCCGGGACGCCACCCUCAAGGGCCCACUCUGGGAAGAGGUCUCCAGGAAGCUGGCCGAGGAGGGGUACAGGCGGAACGCCAAGAAGUGCAAGGAGAAGUUCGAGAACGUUCACAAGUACUACAAGCGCACCAAGGACAGCCGCGCCGGCCGCAACGACGGCAAGACGUACCGCUUCUUCCGGCAGCUCGAGGCGAUGAACAGCACGUCCGGUGCGACGGCGGCUCCGAUGGCGUCGGCCCCGCCGCCGGCGACAGCCGUUGGGGUGCCUGGGGCGGUGGGACCCACGGCCGUACGGCCCCUUGCCGAGCCGCCGCCUGUUGGUGCCGCGGCCGCCGCUACGGCUGGCCUGCCGACGCCGGUGGUAGUUGGCAACCUGAGCUUCUCAACGUCCAACACGGAGGAGUACUCGGACGAGGACGACUCCGACGACGAGGGCACCGACGACAUGGGCGGCGGCGCGGACGAGCGAGGGAAGAGGAAGAGGACGUCGGAAGGUGGCGCCGCGGCUGGUUCUGGCGGCGAGGCCGGGAGCGGGAAGAUGAUGAGGUUCUUCGAGGGGCUGAUGAAGCAGGUGAUGGAGCGUCAGGAGGCGAUGCAGCAGCGGUUCCUGGAGGCCAUCGAGAAGCGGGAGCAGGACCGCAUGAUCCGCGAGGAGGCGUGGCGGAGGCAGGAGAUGGCGCGCCUGGCGCGCGAGCAGGAGAUCCUCGGGCAGGAGCGCGCCAUGGCUGCUACCCGCGACGCCGCUGUGCUCUCCUUCAUACAGAAGAUCACCGGGCAGACCGUCCCCAUGCCGUCCAUCGCCGCGCAGGCCAUUACAUUCAUGCCGCCGCCGCCGCCUUCGCAGCCUCACGCCACGCCAAUCGCAUACUCCGCCGCGCCAGUUCAUCCACGACCGUCGUCUUCACAGCCACCUGCCACGCACUCGCCGCCUCAACCUCAACCCUCGCCACGGCAGCAGAAGCCGCCAACAAUGCCGCCCGUGAAGCCGCAGCCGCACAAGUCGCCGGCUCUAGCGACGCCACAGCUACAGCAGCAAGCGCCGGCCGUAAAUUCAAGCUGCAUGGACAUCGUCGUGGCGCCCUCCUCCGAAGCGCCGCAAGACUCGUCGGGGUACGACGGAUCCGGUGGCGGCAGCGGACCGGCAUCGUCGCGGUGGCCCAAGACGGAGGUGCACGCGCUGAUCCAACUGCGGAGCAACCUGGACAUGAGGUACCAAGAGGCCGGGCCCAAGGGACCGCUCUGGGAAGAGAUCUCCGCCGGCAUGCGGCGGAUGGGCUACAACCGGAGCUCCAAGCGGUGCAAGGAGAAGUGGGAGAACAUCAACAAGUACUUCAAGAAGGUGAAGGAGAGCAACAAGAAGCGGCCCGAGGACUCCAAGACGUGCCCCUACUUCCACCAGCUCGAGGCGCUCUACCGCAACAAGGCGGCGCUCGGCUCCCCCUCCGGCGCCGGCGGCGCACUGGCUUUGCCGCCGCCCGCAGUGCACGCCAAUGCAGCUCCCCAGGAGCGCAUCGAGGCGUUCACCGUCGCGGCGCCGAUCUCGCAGACGGCUCCGCAGCAGCCACCUGUGGCCAAGAACGACGCCAGCAACACCGGGAACGGCAACAGUAAUGGCGGCGGCGCGUCGGUAGGAGCCUCCGGGGGAGCGCAAAGGCUGGCGGCGAGCAACGGCGGCAGCAGGUUCGUCUUCAGCGAAGCAGGCGGAGACGCGGCGGCGAAAAAGCCAGAAAGCAUUAUGAAGGAGACGACGAUGGAGCAGAGGCAGCCGCAGCCGCAGCCGCAGGCGGCGCAGCAGGCGACGAUCAACAGCUACAACCGUACGGGCGGCGGCGGCGCCGAGAGCGACAACAUGGACGAGGACGACGAGGACGAGGACGACUACGAGGAUGAGGACGAGGAGGACGACCUCGACGGCAACAAAACGCAGUACAAGAUCCAGUUCCAGGGGCAGCAACAACAUCAGAAUCAGCAUCAACAGCACCACCACAACGUUGUCAGGCCGAACGCCACCUCGUCCGGCGGAGGCAACCCGCCUGGCGCUGCCGCUCCCAGCGCGCCGGCGGCGGCAACGACGACAGCCGGAUCGUUCCUGGGCAUGGUCCAGUAG